rnacentral:rRNA from 1 species
AAAAUGGGAGGUAAAUUUCUUCUAAAGCUAAAUACCGGCCAGAGACCGAUAGCGCACAAGUAGAGUGAUCGAAAGAUGAAAAGCACUUUGAAAAGAGGGUUAAAUAGCACGUGAAAUUGCUGAAAGGGAAGCGCUUGUGACCAGACUUGUGCCCGGUUGAUCAUCCAGCGUUCUCGCUGGUGCACUCUGCCGGGCUCAGGCCAGCAUCGGCUCUCCCAGGGGGAUAAAGGUCGCGGGAACGUAGCUCUCUCCGGGGAGUGUUAUAGCCCGCGGCGGAAUACCCUUAGGGGGGGUCGAGGCCCGCGUUCGCAAGGAUGCUGGCGUAAUGGUCACCAGCGACCCGUCUUGAAACACGGACCAAGGAGUCAAGCAUUAGGGCGAGUCUUUGGGUGUAAAACCCGCAGGCGCAAUGAAAGUGAACGGAGGUGAGAGCUUCGGCGCAUCAUCGACCGAUCCUGAUGUUCUCGGAUGGAUUUGAGUAAGAGCCUUACCGCUUGGACCCGAAAGAUGGUGAACUAUGCCUGAAUAGGGUGAAGCCAGAGGAAACUCUGGUGGAGGCUCGCAGCGGUUCUGACGUGCAAAUCGAU